UACGGAGGGGGCUAGCGUUGUUCGGAAUUACUGGGCGUAAAGCGCACGUAGGCGGCUUUGUAAGUUAGAGGUGAAAGCCCGGGGCUCAACCCCGGAACUGCCUUUAAGACUGCAUCGCUUGAAUCCAGGAGAGGUGAGUGGAAUUCCGAGUGUAGAGGUGAAAUUCGUAGAUAUUCGGAAGAACACCAGUGGCGAAGGCGGCUCACUGGCCUGGUAUUGACGCUGAGGUGCGAAAGCGUGGGGAGCAAACAGG
rnacentral:rRNA from 2 species